CCCGCUCUUUGAUUGGGGUUCAAAUGUUAUCGGAAAUAUAUGAGUUUUCUACCAUACCCAUAUUUUACUAUAUCUAUCACAUCCUACGGAAAAUUUUAUGAAAUUUGAUUUGCAAGAUAUAGUUGUUUCACAAAGAUUUGCACUUGCGUAAAACCUAUGUUGCACGGAAACCGUUUCCGGUACGAUCCGAUACGUGGAAACGUCAAAAUCAAAUAUAGUCUGAUACGAAACGUGAAGGAAACGGCAAAAUUAAAAUAAAUAUAAUAUUUAUUAUAAUAAAUAUAAUUGAAAAAAUAACAUCAAAAAAAUAGUUUCUUAAUAAAAAACAUCAAUCUAAAUGACUAAAUCCAAACAAACAUGCAUAAUCAAAUUACAAUACAAAUAACAAAGAUUCUUCAUCACAUAGUCAAUCCAAAUCCAAACCAAACAAAUGUUUGAGAAAAGAUCCAUAUUCAAAUACUCAAAUUAAAAUACAAAUAAGUCAAAUUAAGCUUCAACAACAUCAUCCUCUUCAAUAUUUUCCUCUUCAAACUCAUCAUCUUCAAACAAGACCGACUCCAAAAAUAGGCUCAUCAAGUGAAAGGUUGGCAAUCUCAAGCCUUCCAACAUUAGAGUCUUCCAAUGAAUCAAAGUCAAUCACCUCCAAUAUCCCACAUAUGAGUUGCACCUUUGUUGUAAGUUGGGCAUUGCCUAGCUAAAAGGCGAAGAUUGGUAUGCACAAAUACCAAAUCUUCCGCUCUAAAAGGUUACUAUUCGGGGUUAUGAGUUACCGCAGACUUUUCUUUAUUCGCGUUCAGAGAUUUAAAUAGCGAUUACUUGAGUUUGUUUUUGAGUUUUUCUGAAAACGGUAAAUAGUAGAUUUAAAACUCCGAAGUCGUAGUACAUGUUUAUACGAGCUCACCGGUAUGCCCGGAUUAUUUUCCGGAGCGACGAGCUAGGUUCUUUGAAUUAUAAAGUUUCCAGGAAAUUUUCAAUUAUUGUUUCUUGUAACCGUUUUACCAUAAAAGACCCAAAAACUUGACUUUUCGUUAAGUCGAUAAUUUGGGAAAACUUCCUGCAUGGAAGUCGUAGAGGACGUUAAUACGAGAUCGUGGACACGUGGCACGCUUAAAUCGGAGUUUGUAUGAGAAAGUUAUGGUCUAAAAACGGGAAGUUACUAUCUCGGUAAAUGAUAUAUAUAUAAAACAGGAAGAGGGAGGUUCUAGAAGGGUCGGUUAAACCGACCUAAGCAACAGAUUAAAAGGAAAAAAGGAAGGUUCGGGAAAGGAGGGAGAAAAUCAGUUCAGACCCAGACCGGGUCAUCCCCGACCCGAACAGAGUCAGCGGGUCAACCCGACUGGUUCUCCGUUUUCCGGCGACGACGAGCAGAAAGAAUGGUAGCGACAGCUUCCUCUCAUUCUCGUGGUCAUGUCCAUGCCAUUGAUUUUCAAAUAAGAAGUCUAGAGUGAGAGAUUCGAAGUGGAGAAGGAGAGGCUGUGUUUGCCGGCGAAUCUCCGAUUCCGGCAGCGGCGACGCCUCUCACUGGUAUGGAUAGCUUCAUCUCGAUCUCAGGAACCUUUCCAUGUUCUUGGUUUUCGAAGAGAAGCUNNNNN
rnacentral:lncRNA from 1 species